GACGAACGCUGGCGGCGUGCUUAACACAUGCAAGUCGAACGGAAAGGCUCCAGCUUGCUGGAGUACUCGAGUGGCGAACGGGUGAGUAACACGUGGGUAAUCUGCCCUGCACUCUGGGAUAAGCCUGGGAAACUGGGUCUAAUACUGGAUAUGACCUUUCUCCUUAUGGGGUUUGGUGGAAAGUUUUUCGGUGUAGGAUGAGCCCGCGGCCUAUCAGCUUGUUGGUGGGGUGAUGGCCUACCAAGGCGACGACGGGUAGCCGGCCUGAGAAGGUGAUCGGCCACAUUGGGACUGAGAUACGGCCCAGACUCCUACGGGAGGCAGCAGUGGGGAAUAUUGCACAAUGGGCGGAAGCCUGAUGCAGCGACGCCGCGUGAGGGAUGACGGCCUUCGGGUUGUAAACCUCUUUCAGCAGGGACGAAGCGUAAGUGACGGUACCUGCAGAAGAAGCACCGGCUAACUAUGUG
rnacentral:rRNA from 1 species